UAUUGGACAAUGGGCGAAAGCCUGAUCCAGCCAUGCCGCGUGUGUGAAGACGGGCUUCGGAUGGUNAAGCACUGUAAGUUGGGAGGNAGGGGUUGAAGCUAAUACCUUCAAUCUUUGACGUUACCAACAGAAUAAGCACCGGCUAACCCUGUGCCAGCAGCCGAGGUAAUACAGGGGGUGCAAGCGUUAAUCGGAAUUACUGGGCGUAAAGCGCGCGUAGGUGGUUCAGUAAGAUGGCAGUGAACUCCCCGGGCUUAACCUGGGACCUGCUUUCAUAACUGCUGAGCUAGAGUACGGUAGAGGGUAGUGCAAUUUCCUGUGUAGCGGUGAAAUGCGUAGAUAUCGGAAGGAACACCAGUGGCGAAGGCGACCACCUGGGCUAAUACUGACACUGAGGUGCGAAAGCGUGGGGAGCAGACAGG
rnacentral:rRNA from 1 species